rnacentral:tRNA from 1 species
CUUUAUUUAGUAUAAAAAGUAUUUUUGUUUUCCAAAUAAGAUGUCUAAAUUUUUGGAUUUAGAGUAGAGA